GACGAACGCUGGCGGCGUGCUUAACACAUGCAAGUCGAACGGAAAGGCCCUUCGGGGUCCUCGAGUGGCGAACGGGUGAGUAACACGUGGGUGAUCUGCCCUGCACUUUGGGAUAAGCCUGGGAAACUGGGUCUAAUACCGAAUAGGACCACGCGCUUCAUGGUGUGUGGUGGCAAGCUUUGCGGUGGGGGAUGGGCCCGCGGCCUAUCAGCUUGUUGGUGGGGUAAUGGCCUACCAAGGCGACGACGGGUAGCCGGCCUGAGAGGGUGACCGGCCACACUGGGACUGAGAUACGGCCCAGACUCCUACGGGAGGCAGCAGUGGGGAAUAUUGCACAAUGGGCGCAAGCCUGAUGCAGCGACGCCGCGUGAGGGAUGACGGCCUUCGGGUUGUAAACCGCUUUCAAUAGGGACGAAGCGCAAGUGACGGUACCUAUAGAAGAAGCACCGGCCAACUACGUG
rnacentral:rRNA from 1 species